rnacentral:rRNA from 1 species
AGCAGCCGCGGUAAUUCCAGCUCCAAUAGCGUAUAUUAAAGUUGUUGCAGUUAAAAAGCUCGUAGUUGAAUUUCGGGGUCAGUAGGUUGGUCGUGCCACUGGUAUGUACUAGCCUCACUGAUUCCUCCUUCCUGAUGAACCGUAAUGCCAUUAAUUUGGUGUUGCGGGGAAUCUGGACUGUUACUUUGAAAAAAUUGAGUGUUUAAAGCAGGCUAACGCUUGAAUACAUUAGCAUGGAAUAAUGGAAUAGGACGUUCGAUCCUAUUUUGUUGGUUUCUAGGAUUGACGUAAUGAUUAAUAGGGAUAGUUGGGGGCAUUAGUAUUCAAUUGUCAGAGGUGAAAUUCUUGGAUUUAUUGAAGCUAACUACUGCGAAAGCAUUUGCCAAGGAUGUUUCAUUAAUCAAGAACGAAAGUUAGGGAUCGAAGACGAUCAGAUACCGUCGUAGUCUUAACCAUAAACCUAUAGCCACUAGGGAUCGGGAUGGAUGUUAAUUUUUAAUGUACUCAUUCGGCGUCCUUA